CCCACAUCAGAUCUCCUCCUCUUCGCUGGCUUUGCUCCAGCGGUGGCAGCAGUUGGCGGUGAUGCCCAGGAGGAAGUUGGUGGCCACGGACGCGAUGGAGACCACGAAGCCCACGAAGGCGAUGAAGAGUUUUUGAGGGAAAAGAAUAAAAUGCUGGACUGAAAUUGACUCCCUUGAGAAGUGGAUGAACAUGAUGCUGAGAAAUGGAUUCUUAGAAACAGAGAGUCAGGCUCAGAAGCAGGAUGAACCUCCCCCCAGCCCUGGCUCAGGACCCCCUGUGGGCUGUGUGCACAGUGGCCCAGACCCCGUGGAGGACAAGCUGGUGCCUGGGGUUGACCAUCAAGACAUCAUCGUCUUGGAACCGGAAGAUGCCGAACCCCAAAGUCUCUCGCAGGCCUCUAAGAAUGGGGGAAAGGACCUAAGAGCCCUCUGGUUGCUGAGACUGAUUCCUGGACAACUGCCAGUAAGAGAAUGGGGACCUCGAUUCUACACCAGGAAGGACCUGCUUUCUGCCGAUGAGUUUGGAAGAUGACCUGCAGCUCUUGAUGACAACGCAGCUGGCCAACACCCUGACCUCAGCCCCAUGAAAUACCCAGGGUAGAGGGCCCAGUUGUGUUGUGCCAGGAUUUUAAUACAUGAAUGUGUACCUUUAAGCCACUCUGAGUGUGGAAAUUUAUCAGCAUAGAGGACUAAUACAAACAUCGUGUGGAAAAAGGCAUUGUUUGGCUAGCACUUAAAUGCAUGAAAACAAUCCCCAUUUUGUGCUAAUAUGUUCCGUGAGUAACAAUAAAUACAUCUGCAACA